rnacentral:lncRNA from 1 species
GAUGAUGAUAGCGUCACGUAUGACUCGCACACUGGUGGUAUUGCCUGGCCUCGCUGUUUUCAACGGUUCUCAGUUUGAACCGUUUGAACUUCGGAUGUGGUUGCUCCGUUGCUUUUGUGAAUGCUAGCGGCAUAACGCCGACCCAGAUAAGUACAAGUGCAUGAUUUGUGACAGGUGCUUCAAGAAAAUCUACAACUUAAAGAGGCACCUAAAGGAGGUUGACGGCAUUGACGGGACGCUGACACGAUCUGGAUCACACUGUCCGCUGCCGCCUUGCAUGCGAUCUGUGUCCAACGGCUUUUGCGUUCCAUUGGGGACUUGCUGCGCCACUUUGAAGCGAAACACGGGUUCGUCGCGAGGCGUGAGGAGUUAAAGUUCAAUUUGUUGAAAGAAUUCAGUGACUGGAGGGAGGCUGAGGAAGGCAGAGAGCACGUUCACUUCGUUCUUCACGACGGGCCCAAGGGACGAGAUGAGGGUGUCCUGAAAAUGUAUUGCUACUGCCACCGCUCUGGAUCAUUUCAGAGCAAGAGGUAAACGACAACUGAGAGCCCAGGGCACUUGUAAGACUAAUGUGCAAUGCUUAGCCACAAUUCAAGCAACAGAGAAAGAUGGCAAGGUGACAGUAGAGUACCAGGCAGAACACUACGGCCACCUGAAGGAACUGAAGCACCAGCGCCUCUUUACGACUGAGAAGGAGGCUUUAGCUGAUAAACUAAAGCAAGGCAUCCCCGCCCGUAAAGUUCUGGUAGACGCACAUUCUUCCGCUGGCAGUGAGGUGGGCAGGCUACAUUUGUUCUCAAUGAAAGGCAUUGGCAACAUCUCCGUCGAGCAUGAAAUUCUGACGAAAGAGCUACGGCACAAGAAUCACAGGAGGAACUGAACAAAGUCAGAUUCCCCAGUCUGUACUGACAUGGAAGAAGGAAAACAAAGAGAGCUUUGUGCUUGCCCUGAUGACUGUCCCUCAGAAAGAACUCGUCACAAAGCUUGGCUUGGCCCCAAGUUCCUGUGCAUUGACUCUACUCAUAAUACAAAUGGCCACAAUCUGCAAAUGAAGACUCAUGACAGUUGCAGAAGAUCAGUCAGGCAUGCCAUGCACAUAUUUGAUCUCAAUGUAACUAGGCACUAAGACUAUGAAACGCACCUUAAGGCCAUAAAGGUAAUGCAUGGGAGGAAGUGAUGGGCUGUCCCCAACAUUGGAUGCUCUACUCCUGGCAUGUAAGCCACAACUGGGCUCUGAAGUUGCAGUCGGUCCAAGAUAUAAGCAAACCCGUGACCGUCUUUGCGACGAGUUGUGGGCGCUGAGAAAUUGCAAAGAUGAGGGUCAAUUCCAACGAGCUUUGACGGGCUUCCUCUGUCAGAAACUACUGUAAGUGGAGAGGCUGACCCAAAACUAAUUCAACAAGUACAGGAGUUUGUUCAGUACUUUGGGCACUACCAUGGUGGCAGAGCAGAACAGUGGGCGCUCUGCUUCAGAAAGGGCAUUCCUUUCAAUACUACCAACCACUUGGAGGCAACGUACAAGGAGCUGAAGUCACACUACCUGCAUGGAACUCACAAUCAGAGGCUCGACAAGCUGUUGAUGACCCUCUUCGAACUGACCCAGUACCGCCUCUAUAAGCGUCUCGAGUCGCUCGUAAAAGGAAAAACUGAUUGGCAUGAUGCAGCCCUUUUUCGGAGGCACCAGGAGAGGAUGAAAAUUCCAGCAUCAGAUAUAGAGCAGCUGCAAAAUGGCAAUGGCUGGCUUGUAAAGUCUCAGUCCCAGGCAGAGAGAAGCUACCAUGUUGAGAAGGGCGACCCCUGCCAGAGUUGCGUGCUCCGUUGCAAGGACUGUGACAUCUUUAUCGACAGUUACAAGUGCACUUGCAAUGACAGCCUGAUUUCAACAUCAAUGUGCAAGCAUAUUCAUGCUGUAGCUUACCUGGGGCUUCAUGUGACGACAGUGAAGGAGGUUGACAUUAAGCCAGGUGUAAAACUGCCAGUAACAUCAUGUGAAGCAACAGGCUUUACGUAAGAUGAUGAGCCACAGUCCCUCUUGGAUGACAUUCGGCAGGGUAUUGAGGUAGGGAUGAAGAAGACUCAACCAAAUUCAGAGGACAACAUAUGUUUAGCAAUGAGUGGACUGAACAAGUCCCUCUCCAGGAAGAAAUUGACAAGCUCUUCAAGCUCCCUGGUGUUGAAAUACCGUACCAAGGCCCAAGUACUUGACUCUGUUCCCGAUGAGACUUCUCCAAAACCUAGGGUAGUCCCCCACAACAAAAAGAUGGAAGAACAACCACGGUGCUUUCCCACCAAAAAGAAACGCCCUGGUUCUGGUCCCAUGCAUGGCAAACCUCCCACCAGCUUGGAGCAGCAGCAGAUCAUGGAGGGCCUUGUAGCCAGGUGAGUUCCUACAGAAGGAGCAGCAUCCGCUCAGCCCCCUGUAGAUGUUCCGAGCAUGUCUGCUCGCCCUCAAGGAGCAUGGCUACUUUGCAAAUCAGUAGUUUUGACUAUUGGACUACAAAAAAGGGGCAGUGUUCCUCUUGCAAAAAGGAAUGGCGUGUUAGACAGCUUGGAUUUCUUUCCACUUUGAAGAAUGUCAAGAGAUGCUCGAGCUAAAGGCAAGAGGGGCAUCUCUUGCCAUCCUCCAACAGGCUUUGUUAGGCAAGACAUUAUAUGCUGACCUUAAUCAUAACGCUUUUUUAACAACCAGGUAUUGGCAGUUUUAUUUUAGUUGAUGCAGAACGGUUGUCUCUAAAUUAACGGGUAACCAUAGCGCCUCGAAAUGCUCGUUUAUGAGCGUGCCCCUCGCUGAAACUGGCACUUUUUUUAGAUAUUACUGUACGAGAAUAUGCAGUUUUUUCCACUUUGGAUAAUGUCAAGAGGUGCUCGAGCUCGCCAUUCUCCAACAGGUGGCUUAUGUUAUCAGCUGGUCUUAAUUCGAAAAGUGUUUUAAUGGCCAGAGCUUGCCAAUUUAAUUUCAAUUAUACAGGUUACUUCUAAGUUAAUGUGUAACCAUUUUACCUCAAGUUGCCUGUUACAUGCUUAUUUCUUAUUUUGCAUACUGCUGCACAAGAAUGUAAAAGUUGCAGUUCCCGCGACAUACCAAAUUAUUUUAGUAUGUGACAUAUGCUUUAGGAUAUAAUGGUUUUCUUGCUAAUAAGUGCCUAUAAUCACUGUUUCAUUGUUUUGUGAGCCAAGAGGGAGUGACCACUGGCAACCACAAGCAUGAGGAUCUGCUACAGGAAGCAUAAUCAUGUGCCUGGACCUCGAGACCGGUGACCUUGGAGAUGUCAGCAAGGCUACAGGGUGAUUUGUUCACCGCAGGGCUGUGCAAUUUAGUGGCAUGGAACUAGUGUCUCACCUCGGAAAUCUCCAUGGCGAGUGAACAGUGUAAGGCUGGUGGGGCAAGAAGUUUAUUGGAAGGUUUUGUCAUGCCAUGGGGAUGAACAUUCGUGACAGGUUCAUCUCCCAAACCAGCUACGCAAUAGACGCAAGCCUGCUAAGUCACUGGGACAUGGAUGCAUUACAGUCAUUAGUGUGUGGCACAGAGGACUUCUAGGGACACGGCAGGAGACGAACAUCCAAUAUUUAUAUUCUGCCUAUAUUCAGUGAACA